GUGGGGAAUAUUGGACAAUGGGGGAAACCCUGAUCCAGCGACGCCGCGUGGGUGAAGAAGGCCUGCGGGUUGUAAAGCCCUUUCGGUGGGGAAGAAAAGCCUCGACCUAACACGUCGGGGUAUUGACGUAACCCACAAAAGAAGCACCGGCUAACUCUGUGCCAGCAGCCGCGGUAAUACAGAGGGUGCGAGCGUUAAUCGGAAUUACUGGGCGUAAAGCGCGCGUAGGCGGCUAUACAAGUCGAGUGUGAAAUCCCCGGGCUCAACCUGGGAACUGCAUUCGAGACUGUAUGGCUUGAGUAUGGGAGAGGGAGGCGGAAUUUCAGGUGUAGCGGUGAAAUGCGUAGAUAUCUGAAGGAACAUCAGUGGCGAAAGCGGCCUCCUGGACCAAUACUGACGCUCAUGUGCGAAAGCGUGGGGAGCAAACAGGAUUAGAUACCCUGGUAGUCC
rnacentral:rRNA from 1 species